UACAGAGGGGGCAAGCGUUAUUCGGAAUUAUUGGGCGUAAAGGGCGCGUAGGCGGCUUGGCAAGUGGAAGGUGAAAUCCCUCGGCUUAACCGAGGAACUGCCCUCCAAACUGCUUUGCUUGAGGCCGGGAGAGGCGAGUGGAAUUCCCAGUGUAGCGGUGAAAUGCGUAGAUAUUGGGAGGAACACCAGUGGCGAAGGCGGCUCGCUGGCCUGUUCUUGACGCUGAGGCGCGAAAGCUAGGGUAGCAAACGGG
rnacentral:rRNA from 1 species